CCAGCCUGGCCAACAUGGUGAAACCCUGUCUCUACUGAAAAUACAAAAAAUUAGCCAUGUGUGGUGGCAGGUGUCUGUAAUCCCAGCUACUCAGGAGGCUGAGGCAGGAGAAUCUCUCGAAUCCAGGAGUCGGAGGCUAUAGUGCUCCAAUAUCAUG